rnacentral:rRNA from 1 species
CCUACGGGAGGCAGCAGUGAGGAAUAUUGGUCAAUGGGCGGAAGCCUGAACCAGCCAAGUCGCGUGAGGGAUUAAGGCCCUGCGGGUCGUAAACCUCUUUUGCCGGGGAGCAGUGGUCCGGACGCGUCCGGACCGGGAGAGUACCCGGAGAAAAAGCAUCGGCUAACUCCGUGCCAGCAGCCGCGGUAAUACGGAGGAUGCGAGCGUUAUCCGGAUUUAUUGGGUGUAAAGGGAGCGUAGACGGCAGCGCAAGUCUGGAGUGAAAUCCCAUGGCUUAACCAUGGAACUGCUUUGGAAACUGUGCAGCUAGAGUGCAGGAGAGGUAAGCGGAAUUCCUAGUGUAGCGGUGAAAUGCGUAGAUAUUAGGAGGAACACCAGUGGCGAAGGCGGCCUGCUGGACGGUGACUGACGCUGAGGCUCGAAAGCGUGGGGAGCAAACAGGAUUAGAUACCCCUGUAGUC